CGGCAGCACAGGAGAGCUUGCUCCCUGUGGUGGCGAGUGGCGGACGGGUGAGGAAUACAUCGGAAUCUACUCUGUCGUGGGGGAUAACGUAGGGAAACUUACGCUAAUACCGCAUACGACCUACGGGUGAAAGCAGGGGACCUUCGGGCCUUGCGCGAUUGAAUGAGCCGAUGUCGGAUUAGCUAGUUGGCGGGGUAAAGGCCCACCAAGGCGACGAUCCGUAGCUGGUCUGAGAGGAUGAUCAGCCACACUGGAACUGAGACACGGUCCAGACUCCUACGGGAGGCAGCAGUGGGGAAUAUUGGACAAUGGGCGCAAGCCUGAUCCAGCCAUACCGCGUGGGUGAAGAAGGCCUUCGGGUUGUAAAGCCCUUUUGUUGGGAAAGAAAUCCAGCUGGCUAAUACCCGGUUGGGAUGACGGUACCCAAAGAAUAAGCACCGGCUAACUUCGUGCCAGCAGCCGCGGUAAUACGAAGGGUGCAAGCGUUACUCGGAAUUACUGGGCGUAAAGCGUGCGUAGGUGGUCGUUUAAGUCCGUUGUGAAAGCCCUUGGGCUCACCUGGGAACUGCAGUGGAUACUGGGCGACUAAAGUGUGGUACAGGGU
rnacentral:rRNA from 1 species